GGUUUAUGGCUCAGCGGCAGAGCGCUUGCCUAGCAGGUGGGAGGCCUUGGGUUCGAUCCUCAGCACCA
rnacentral:tRNA from 1 species